UACCUGGUUGAUCCUGCCAGUAGUCAUAUGCUUGUCUCAAAGAUUAAGCCAUGCAAGUCUAAGUACGAGCUCUCGUACAGUGAAACUGCGAAUGGCUCAUUAAAUCAGUUAUGGUUCAUUUGAUCGUACAGUUUACUUGGAUAACUGUGGUAAUUCUAGAGCUAAUACAUGCGAGAAGCGCCGACCUCGCGGGAGGCGUGCAUUUAUCAGACCAAAAACCGGCCGCGUCUUCGGGCGCGUUCGCCUUGGUGACUCUGGAUAACUUUGCGGAUCGCACGGUCUAGCACCGGCGACGGAUCAUUCAAGUGUCUGCCCUAUCAACUUUCGUCGGUACGGUAUUUGCCUACCGAGGUUCUUACGGGUGACGGGGAAUCAGGGUUCGAUUCCGGAGAGGGAGCCUGAGAAACGGCUACCACAUCCAAGGAAGGCAGCAGGCGCGCAAAUUACCCAUUCCCGACGCGGGGAGGUAGUGACGAAAAAUAACAAUGCAGGACUCGUUCGAGGCCCUGUAAUUGGAAUGAGUACACUUUAAAAGCUUUAACGAGUAUCCAUUGGAGGGCAAGUCUGGUGCCAGCAGCCGCGGUAAUUCCAGCUCCAAAAGUAUAUAUUUAAGUUGUUGCGAUUAAAAAGCUCGUAGUUGGAUUUUGGGG
rnacentral:ncRNA from 1 species